rnacentral:rRNA from 1 species
CCUACGGGAGGCUGCAGUGGGGAAUUUUGGACAAUGGGCGCAAGCCUGAUCCAGCCAUGCCGCGUGCAGGAUGAAGGCCUUCGGGUUGUAAACUGCUUUUGUACGGAACGAAACGGCGCUUUCUAAUACAGAGCGCUAAUGACGGUACCGUAAGAAUAAGCACCGGCUAACUACGUGCCAGCAGCCGCGGUAAUACGUAGGGUGCAAGCGUUAAUCGGAAUUACUGGGCGUAAAGCGUGCGCAGGCGGUUAUGUAAGACAGUUGUGAAAUCCCCG